rnacentral:lncRNA from 1 species
CCGCCGCGGCGAGAGCAGCUGCCCACGGGCACUCAGCGCGGCGCCGGGCGGGCACUAAGCCCCGGCGGGCGGCACGGCCCCUUCUCCCCGCCCCUCUCCCGCAACUUUCUGGGUGCUCCUCCGGCACCCAUGGCAACGCGCAUGAGCCUUCCCCCACCGCCGGGCCGGGGGGAAGGAAUUAACUGGCGAAAUUAAUCCUUUCCCCUAAACGGUGCAGGAAUGACCCGCUCUCAGUGUCGCGCCUGGCGUCCCUGCGCGGAGGGGAGCGGGCAGCAGCAAGUGCCGAGGUGCGGACCGUGGCCAGGUCCCUCCUGAGGAGCUGGAGCGGACAGGAACGCGAGCAGCGCCCCGGGGCUGGCGGGGAGCACUGAUUGCUCGGGGCUCUUCCACCUGUCUUUAGGAGAUGCGUUUCAAGAUGGGCUUCCAUGGGGAGAAUGGUGCUUCUGCGCGCAACGAACGAGUGGUGUUCAAGGAGCAUCUAUGACUACACCCCACCUUCAACACUUGCUAGAAGCCACACGCUCACCAAGACCCUACUUGGGAGUUCAACAACAGUAACUCAAAAAUAAUGGGAUUCUCCCACAGUAUGCAGAGGUGCUACAAGCAAGAGUUCCUCAUAUCCUUCAUGCCAUGAACAACCUCACAUAAACCCAGGAAGGAGGUCAAGCUGAUGUAAAUAAUCUUCCUGCCAUACAGUAAGAACAAAUGGUACCAGCCAGAUCUAUACACUUGAUGUCAUCUUUAAACUGCAAGAAGAUAAGGUCAGUUGACUCUUGAUCUCCCACAUGUGCUGUUAACACAUUUUAGUUUAGGUACAUUGGCUUUAUUCAUUUCUCCAAGACCACCAAAAUGUCUUCUUGCCAGACAGAAUGAGAGACAUUAUGCAUAUCAGCGGUAUUCAAUGUGUUCUUCGGUCAUAAGAUUUCAAUCAACAUCUAGCUGAAAAAGGGAUUUUGUUAGAAAAACCUCAAUAUUUGCCCCCUUAAAUCAAUAUUAUCUAAGCCCUCCAAAUUCAUCACAGCAUCUAUGUUUAAUGCCCUCUAGAUUUCUCAG